rnacentral:ncRNA from 1 species
UAUUAUGUGAUGAAGAGAAGAGUAGUUUGCAAGUAGUUUUUUCAGAGAGAGUCCGUUAUGCUGUGAGGGCUUAAAACGAAAGAAGAUGAAGAUGAGCUCUGAGCAUUAGUGGUUGUGCAAGCAAUUAUUACAGUAAGACCUGUUAUCGUCUAGCUUAUUGAUUCUAGUAAGUUGUUGAGGUGUUUUCUGUGAGGAAGACACGAAUUAAGGUGGUAACGCGUUGCUUUCGUCCUUUAC